rnacentral:tRNA from 1 species
GCCGUCAUAGCUCAGCUGGGAGAGCGACAGACUGAAGUUUACGUAAAUUAAAAUCUGCAGGUCGCCUGUUCGACCCAGGCUGACGGCA